rnacentral:rRNA from 1 species
GACGAACGCUGGCGGCGUGCUUAACACAUGCAAGUCGAGCGGUAAGGCCCUUUCGGGGGUACACGAGCGGCGAACGGGUGAGUAACACGUGGGUGACCUGCCCUCAGCUCUGGGAUAAGCCUGGGAAACCGGGUCUAAUACUGGAUAUGACUCCAUGACGCAUGUUGUGGGGUGGAAAGCCUUGUGCGGCUGAGGAUGGGCCCGCGGCCUAUCAGCUUGUUGGUGGGGUGANGGCCUACCAAGGCGACGACGGGUAGCCGGCCUGAGAGGGCGACCGGCCACACUGGGACUGAGACACGGCCCAGACUCCUACGGGAGGCAGCAGUGGGGAAUCUUGCGCAAUGGGCGAAAGCCUGACGCAGCGACGCCGCGUGAGGGAUGACGCCUGUGUACUCUUCUANCUCGACGAAGCGAGAGUGACGGUAGGAGACGAGAAGAAGACGACCGG